AGUGAACGCUGGCGGUAGGCCUAACACAUGCAGGUCGAACGGCAGCACAGUAAGAGCUUGCUCUUACGGGUGGCGAGUGGCGGACGGGUGAGGAAUACAUCGGAAUCUACUUUUUCGUGGGGGAUAACGUAGGGAAACUUACGCUAAUACCGCAUACGACCUACGGGUGAAAGCAGGGGAUCUUCGGACCUUGCGCGAUUGAAUGAGCCGAUGUCGGAUUAGCUAGUUGGCGGGGUAAAGGCCCACCAAGGCGACGAUCCGUAGCUGGUCUGAGAGGAUGAUCAGCCACACUGGAACUGAGACACGGUCCAGACUCCUACGGGAGGCAGCAGUGGGGAAUAUUGGACAAUGGGCGCAAGCCUGAUCCAGCCAUACCGCGUGGGUGAAGAAGGCCUUCGGGUUGUAAAGCCCUUUUGUUGGGAAAGAAAAGCAGCAGGUUAAUACCCCGCUGUUCUGACGGGACCCAAAGAAUAAGCACCGGCUAACUUCGU
rnacentral:rRNA from 1 species